AUGGCCCGGCUGCGGCCUCACCUGCGGGCGGAGGGAGCAGGGCGGUCAGCAAGGCCAGGCCCGCCCCCGCCCGCCCCGGCCCGCCCCGGCCCGCCCCGGCCCGCCCCGGCCCGCGCGGCGCCGCCCCGCCCCGCCGCUGCCCCCGCCCCGCCCCGGGCCCCGCCCCCGCCCCCGCGCGGACCCGGGCCCCGCCCCCUCCCCGCCCCCUCCCCGCCGCCCCGGGCGCCCGGGUCAACCCCCCGCCCCCCGCCGCCCCGGCUCCCUCCGUCUGGGCUCCCCUUCCCGGGCUCACGCCGUCUGCGCUGGUUCCCUCUCCGCCCGCGCCCACCCCGCGCCCCUCAUCCCUCACCGGGCCUGCCGCCGUCGGGCCGAGAGCUCUGGGCGCACAGGCGCCGCCCCCACCCCUCCGCCCCUUCUCGGCCCGGCGUCGGGCCCCCGCAGCCCCGCAGCCCCAGCCCCAGCCCCUGCGAGCGCGGAGACGGCCCGGGGCUGUGCACCGUGCGGCGCUGCCCGAGCCCCGUCCGUCCGUCCGUCCGUCCGUCCUCCUCGCGCGCCGACUUCUGCGCCAGGAUCCGCGCGGGCAGGGCUCGGAGAAGCCAGAAGACCCCGCCGAGCGCCCGACGUCCCCCCGCGGCCGCUGACCGGGCCCGCCCCGGCUCACGACGGCCCCUCCUGGUCCCCGGCAGGUGGCUUCGGCCCGGGGCUGUGCUCUCCCAGCUCAGGUCUGGCCCCUGCUCCCCCGGGAGCCCCCCCCCCCCCGGGGCAGGGAGAGCCGCGGGGUUCCUUGUUGUCAGCGGUGAGAUACCCGGGAGUGGUGUGGGCUCCCCGGGGGCCAGGGAGCGCGGGCCUGCGGCGGGUGGGGGGAGCCCUGGGGAGCAAGGGGCCCAGGGCCGGGCUGGACCUGCCCCCGCCUCCAAGCCUCAGCGCCCCCAGGGGCCCCGCGGACACGGUCACGGGACACGCUGUUCUGGGAAGCGGCCUGGCACCGUCCUAAGGACCAGCCCCUCGGACGCCCGGGCAAGGGACAGCUCUGGUCCCCUCAGACUCGGAGUCCGUGCCCCCUUCCCAACUCAGCUCCCCCGGCCACCCGCCACCCGUCGGCCCAGGUCUCAGCCUGGCCUCCCCUUCCGGGGCUGCUCCAGGAGCUACCACGGAGGGUGCUGGCCCCCCGCUGCGCGGCAGAGUGAGCGCUGGACACCCAGCUCCUGUCCCUCGGGCCUCUCCCUGCACAGCGAGGCCCUGGCCAGACAGCAGUUUAACUGCGGGAAGAGCUCACCGGGGAAUAGGACCCUGGCCGCUGCCUGCAGGCAAACGGGAGGCUCAGGCUACUUAGAGACAGAAGAGGCCACCUGGCCUCCCGGGAGGGUCCUGCUCUCACUCCCUACUUCCUCACUGCCCACCCUGCUGUCGCACUCACUGUGA
rnacentral:lncRNA from 1 species